rnacentral:rRNA from 1 species
CCUACGGGUGGCAGCAGUGGGGAAUAUUGCGCAAUGGGCGAAAGCCUGACGCAGCGACGCCGCGUGAGUGAUGAAGGUCUUCGGAUCGUAAACCUCUGUCAGCAGGGAAGAACGGUCACUGUGCUAAUCAGCAGUGAAUUGACGGUACCUGCACAGGCAGCACCGGCUAACUCCGUGCCAGCAGCCGCGGUAAUACGGAGGGUGCGAGCGUUGAUCGGAAUGACUGGGCGUAAAGCGCUCGUAGGCGGUAUGUCAAGUCAAGGGUGAAAUCCCCGCGCGCAACGUGGGAACUGCUUUUGAAACUGGAAAGCUGGAGUGUGUGAGAGGAGAGUGGAAUUCCAGGUGUAGGAGUGAAAUCCGUAGAUAUCUGGAGGAACAUCAGUGGCGAAGGCGACUAUCUGGCACAUAACUGACGCUGAGGAGCGAAAGCGUGGGUAGCAAACAGGAUUAGAUACCCUUGUAGUC